GCAACCCGGCUGGUUGAAGGCCAGUCACACCGCAAGGUGGGCGAACCCGCUGAACUGAAACAUCUAAGUAGGCGGAGGAAGAGAAAACAAGAGUGAUUCCGAGAGUAGCGGCGAGCGAAAUCGGACUGGCCCAAACCGUUGUUGUUCGGCAAUGACGGGGUUGUAGGACCACAAUGUUCUUUGCGCGACGAACCGGAAGCAGUUGGAA
rnacentral:rRNA from 1 species